AUGGAGCAUCGCGUCCCAUCGUCGCCGCUCCUGCCCUGCAUCCUGCUGCUGCUCUCGCUCUUCUCAGUGGGCACAGUGUCGGCGCAGCAAAAGUUCGGCAUCAACUACGGGCAGAUCGCCAACAACCUGCCGGACCCCACGCAGGUGGCGAGCCUGCUCCGGUCCAUGAACGUGAACCGGGUGAAGCUCUACGACGCGGACCCCAAGGUGCUGACGGCGUUCGCCAACACGGGCGUGGAGUUCAUCAUCUCGGUGGGCAACGAGAACCUGCAGACCAUGGCGACCAGCCCCGGCGCGGCGCGGCAGUGGGUGGCGCAGCACGUGCAGCCCUUCAUCCCGGCCACCCGCAUCACCGGCAUCAUCGUCGGCAACGAGGUGCUGGGCAACAACGACACGGCCAUGGCGGCCAGCCUCGUGCCCGCCAUGCAGGCCGUCUACGACGCGCUCGCCGCGCUCGGGCUGAGCGGCCGGGUGACGGUCUCGUCGGCGCACUCGGUGAACGUGCUCGCCAGCAGCUUCCCGCCGUCGUCCGGCGCGUUCCAGGAGGGCGUGGCGCAGUACGUGAGGCCGCUGCUGGACUUCCACAGCAAGACGGGCUCCCCCUUCCUCAUCAACGCGUACCCAUUCUUCGCCUACAAGGGGAGCCCGGCGAGCGUGUCGCUGCCGUACGUGCUGUUCCAGCCCAACGCCGGCGUGCGCGACGGCGGCCUGGUGUACGACAACAUGCUGUACGCGCAGAUCGACGCGGUGUACGCGGCCAUGAAGGCCAUGGGGCACACGGACAUCGGCGUGCGGGUGUCGGAGACGGGGUGGCCGUCGAAAGGGGACGAGGACGAGGUGGGCGCCACCGCGCAGAACGCGGCGGCGUACAACGGCAACCUCAUGCAGCGGAUCGCCAUGGGCCAGGGCACGCCGCUCAAGCCCAGCGUGCCCAUCGACGUGUUCGUGUUCGCGCUCUUCAACGAGAACAUGAAGCCCGGGCCGGCGUCAGAAAGAAACUACGGGCUGUUCUACCCCAACGGCUCCCCGGUGUACGCGAUCAACGCCGGCACCGCCGGGUCCGGCGACGGCGGGGGGUCGUCGGUGGGGAGGUUCGACCCGUACUCGUCGCAGUCCAUGUUCUCGGCCGCGUCCAGAUUGGUGGCGGUAAGAAGAAGAUUAUCUUCUUUGACGCUACUGCUGGUAUUGCCCGUGCUGUCAGCAUUGUUGGCAUGCUGA
rnacentral:rRNA from 1 species